CAAAAGUCUGCUGGCGCUGAACGGGACGGACAGCACUCAGCCCCGCAAGGAAAUCGAGAUCAGCAACGUCAAGUACAACAUCUUCCAGAUGAUGAUGUCAUACCUGUACUGCGGGGGGACGGAGUCUCUGAAGAUGGGCGUCCCAGAGUUACUGGAGUUACUGACAGCAGCCAGUUUGUUCCAGUUGGGGGCGCUACAGCGGCACUGUG